CUCUUGGUACCCACACUAAACCUUCCCUUGCAUGGAGCUGGCAUUAUAGAGCUCACAGUGGAGAUGUCGAAGGAAAUCGGAUCUUAGUGACACAGAGAAGUGACUGCAUCAAGCCUUUCCUUAACCCUACCACUCUGGAAGUCCAUUUGUCUGCCAGUGGGAGCACUAUGCUGACCAGUCUCCAUCCUCAUCUCUGUGUCUCUAGGAGAGAGCGUCUCCAUCAUUUGCAGGGAAGAUCAGAGCAUUAGCGAUUACUGAACCUGGUAUCAGCAGAAACCAGGCCAGGUUCCUAAGCUUCUCAUCGAUGAUGCUGAUGAUCGAUAUUUUAGUGUCCCAGCCCAGUUCACUGGGAUACAGUCUGAGACAGAAUUCAUUCUCCAAAUCAGCAAGGGGAGGAAGCAUCCCUGUGUGACAGCUCUGAAUUCAUCAGCUCUGGAACUGGAAGCCUCAAAAUAUCUGUACCCAGGAUGACUUUGCCUGCUUUCCCAAGAGCCCUUGGCUACAGAUCAAAGCCCUCAUCAAUGAGCUGUCCCCUAGCUAAAGGCAGCUGCAUGCCUCAGUCAUGAAAAAAUGAACUUGAGGAGCUCAACGUCUCUGCCUCCUGCUGCUUUGGAUCCUCUGUGAGGAAAGAGAUCAUGAAGAGUUGCAGUGUAAUGAUGAAAAUUGCUUUCUUGUCCUUUUAAGAUGAAUCUUGAAUACCCUUUGGGUCAGUGACAUGUGACUUCUCACAGAACACCCAAUCGUGAGUGACCUGAGAAGAUCAUGGAGUGUGAUAUGUUUAACCUCAAUGAUAUUUGUUAUUAUGUGACUUUGUAAAAUUUCGAUUGCAAACGGGGACUAGAGUUGACCUAAUUUGCAACUUCCGAACAAAACUUCAGGAGAGAGAGUUACCAUCAGCUACAAGGCACCAAAAUAAUAGUAGCUACUUGAACAGUUUCCCAUGAGGCUGCUGUGCUGACUCAGUCUCCACCCCUUCUGUCUGUGGCAGUGGGAAGGAGUAUCUCCAUCUCCUGCAAGGCCAGUGUCAGUCUCAUCCACAGGAAUGGACAC
rnacentral:lncRNA from 1 species